rnacentral:tRNA from 1 species
GCUACAGUAGCGUAGCGGCAGCGCAGUGGGUUAUGUCCUCACAGGUCCGGGUUCGACUCCCGGCUGUAGCC